AAUUCAUUUCUCAUUAUUCAAAUGAAGCACAAAGCAUUUUGUUCCGCAGAGGUUGUUCACAUUAUAGGUCAGGAAUGUAAACUGUGACACAGCAACAAGGGAACCAGCCAGGAAGAAAGACCUUGCGUUUUGAAAGUACAGUCGCAAAGUUCCUGAACAAAUACGAGAAAGUGCUGGAGAAACUCAGCAGAUCUGGAAAUAUCUGUGGAGAGAGAGUCAGAGUUUACGUUUCAAGUUCAGAGUGACUCUUCUUCAGGACUCUGAAUGAUUUAUCGUCACUUGCACUUUACAAUGGAUAAUACGGCCCCCUUAAGUUUAUCAGUGAUGGAGCAGCACUUUCAAAGAGGGAGGAUUUGGCAAAGAGAGACGAGAAGCGAUUCAACACACGAACCCUCUCACACAGACAAAGAACAGGCACUUUGGCCAUUGGCAGCACAUGUCAGGAAAUCAUGUUCACUCUGCCUCCACAGUGCGGCCGUUCAUGGGAAAACAAAAGAAUGAACUACACUAAUACAGCAACUUUUGUGGCCUCGGGAUACCUCAAAGUGCUUCCCAGCCAGUGAAGGGCGGUUAACGUGUAGCCAUUAUUGCGAUGUAGGAUAUGCAGCAGCCCAGGUGCACUCAGCAAGGCCCCACAAACAGCAAUGCCAUAACGGUCAGAUCAUCUGCUUUUGUGAUAUUGGUUGAUGUAUAAGUAUUAGCACCUGCACACGGAGGAGAACUCCCUUGGUCUUAUUGGAAAUUGUGCAACCUGAAGGGGGAAAUGAGGAUUGUGUAUAGAAUUUCAUCACUUUCCCUGACAGUCCGCACUCUUACAGUACUGUGCUGCAGAGUCUGCCUGGACUUAAUGUUCAGCUACUUGAAAUAACUCCCUGAAGACUGCUAUUCCGUCGCCAAGUCAACCUUUAUUUACGCGUGCAUAGUAUGUGACACUAGUCCAGCUAGCUCAGACCCAGCUGCUAAAAGUGAACGGAACAUCUGACACUCCUGCGUAUAUCUUUCAGCCAGGGCUCCCUGAUUGGAUCAGGUUAACAGCUCCAGUCAAGGAACUCAUAUUCUAUGAGGUCCACUUGGCUGACCUCAAUACAAUCAUGAGAGGUACCAUAGUAAGACUUGAAGCCCCCCACACACACACAGACACUCCUAUACACACAUACACAUGGAUACACAUAUACACAGACGCGCACACAGAC